UGGGGAAUAUUGGACAAUGGGCGCAAGCCUGAUCCAGCAAUGCCGCGUGUGUGAAGAAGGCCUUCGGGUUGUAAAGCACUUUUAUCAGGAGCGAAACGCUGUCGGCUAAUACCCGGCGGAACUGACGGUACCUGAGGAAUAAGCACCGGCUAACUUCGUGCCAGCAGCCGCGGUAAUACGAAGGGUGCAAGCGUUAAUCGGAAUUACUGGGCGUAAAGCGUGCGUAGGCGGUUUCUUAAGUCUGCUGUGAAAUCCCCGGGCUCAACCUGGGAAUGGCAGUGGAUACUGGGAGGCUAGAGUGUGUCAGAGGGUGGUGGAAUUCCCGGUGUAGCGGUGAAAUGCGUAGAGAUCGGGAGGAACAUCAGUGGCGAAGGCGGCCACCUGGGACAACACUGACGCUGAGGCACGAAAGCGUGGGGAGCAAACAGGAUUAGAUACCCUGGUAGUCCACGCCCUAAAACGAUGCGAACUGGAUGUUGGUCUCAACUCGGAGAUCAGUGUCGAAGCUAACGCGUUAAGUUCGCCGCCUGGGGGAGUACGGUCGCAAGACUGAAACUCAAAUGAAUUGACGGGGUCAUAGCUGUUUCCUG
rnacentral:rRNA from 1 species